GACGAACGCUGGCGGCGUGCCUAAUACAUGCAAGUCGAGCGAAGUUUUUCUGGUGCUUGCACUAGAAAAACUUAGCGGCGAACGGGUGAGUAACACGUAAAGAACCUGCCUCAUAGACUGGGACAACUAUUGGAAACGAUAGCUAAUACCGGAUAACAGUAUUUCUCGCAUGAGAGAUAUUUAAAAGUUGGUUAUGCUAACACUAUGAGAUGGCUUUGAGGUGCAUUAGCUAGUUGGUGGGGUAAAGGCCCACCAAGGCGACGAUGCAUAGCCGACCUGAGAGGGUGAUCGGCCACACUGGGACUGAGACACGGCCCAGACUCCUACGGGAGGCAGCAGUAGGGAAUCUUCCGCAAUGGGCGAAAGCCUGACGGAGCAACGCCGCGUGAGUGAAGAAGGAUUUCGGUUCGUAAAGCUCUGUUGUUAGGGAAGAAUGGAUAUGUAGUAACUAUACAUGUAAGAGACGGUACCUAACCAGAAAGCCACGGCUAACUACGUG
rnacentral:rRNA from 1 species